rnacentral:rRNA from 1 species
AACGAACGCUGGCGGCAUGCCUAACACAUGCAAGUCGAACGAGACCUUCGGGUCUAGUGGCGCACGGGUGCGUAACGCGUGGGAACCUGCCUUUAGGUUCGGAAUAACCCAGAGAAAUUUGAGCUGAUACCGGAUAAUGUCUUCGGACCAAAGAUUUAUCGCCUUUAGAUGGGCCCGCGUUGGAUUAGCUAGUUGGUGGGGUAAAGGCCUACCAAGGCGACGAUCCAUAGCUGGUCUGAGAGGAUGAUCAGCCACACUGGGACUGAGACACGGCCCAGACUCCUACGGGAGGCAGCAGUGGGGAAUAUUGGACAAUGGGCGAAAGCCUGAUCCAGCAAUGCCGCGUGAGUGAUGAAGGCCUUAGGGUUGUAAAGCUCUUUUACCCGAGAUGAUAAUGACAGUAUCGGGAGAAUAAGCUCCGGCUAACUCCGUGCCAGCCGCCGCCGUAA